rnacentral:rRNA from 1 species
AUUGAACGCUGGCGGCAUGCUUUACACAUGCAAGUCGAACGGUAACAGGUUAAGCUGACGAGUGGCGAACGGGUGAGUAAUGCAUCGGAACGUGCCCGAUCGUGGGGGAUAACGCAGCGAAAGCUGCGCUAAUACCGCAUACGAUCUGAGGAUGAAAGCGGGGGACCGUAAGGCCUCGCGCGAUCGGAGCGGCCGAUGUCAGAUUAGGUAGUUGGUGGGGUAAAGGCUCACCAAGCCAACGAUCUGUAGCUGGUCUGAGAGGACGACCAGCCACACUGGGACUGAGACACGGCCCAGACUCCUACGGGAGGCAGCAGUGGGGAACUUUGGACAAUGGGCGAAAGCCUGAUCCAGCAAUGCCGCGUGCAGGAAGAAGGCCUUCGGGUUGUAAACUGCUUUUGCACGGAGCGAAAAGGUCUCCUCUAAUACAGGGGGCUCAUGACGGUACCGUAAGAAUAAGCACCGGCUAACUACGUGCCAGCCGCCGCGGUAA